rnacentral:rRNA from 1 species
GACGAACGCUGGCGGCGUGCCUAAUACAUGCAAGUCGAACGCAGGGGGGACGGGUGAGUAACACGUGGGUAACCUCCCAUCAGAGGAGAGAACACUUGGAAACAGGUGCUAAACCGAUACUGAUGGAGGAACCCGCGGUGCAUUAGCUAGUUGGUGAGGUAACGGCUCACCAAGGCCACGAUGCAUAGCCGACCUGAGAGGGUGACCGGCCACACUGGAACUGAGACACGGCCCAGACUCCUACGGGAGGCAGCAGUAGGGAAUAUUCGGCAAUGGACGAAAGUCUGAUCCAGCCACGCCGCGUGAGUGAAGAAGGUUUUCGGAUUGUAAAACUCUGUCUUCAGAGAAGCGUUAUCUACACAGAAAGCCACGGCUAACUACGUGCCAGCAGCCGCGGUAAUAC